GAUGAACGCUGGCGGCGUGCCUAAUACAUGCCAGUCGAGCGAACAGACGAGGAGCUUGCUCCUCUGACGUUAGCGGCGGACGGGUGAGUAACACGUGGAUAACCUACCUAUAAGACUGGGAUAACUUCGGGAAACCGGAGCUAAUACCGGAUAAUAUAUUGAACCGCAUGGUUCAAUAGUGAAAGACGGUUUUGCUGUCACUUAUAGAUGGAUCCGCGCCGCAUUAGCUAGUUGGUAAGGUAACGGCUUACCAAGGCAACGAUGCGUAGCCGACCUGAGAGGGUGAUCGGCCACACUGGAACUGAGGCACGGUCCAGACUCCUACGGGAGGCAGCAGUAGGGAAUCUUCCGCAAUGGGCGAAAGCUUGACGGAGCAACGCCGCGUGAGUGAUGAAGGUCUUCGGAUCGUAAAACUCUGUUAUCAGGGAAGAACAAAUGUGUGAGUAACUAUGCACGUCUUGACGGUACCUAAUCAGAAAGCCACGGCUAACUACGUG
rnacentral:rRNA from 1 species